GUGAGGAAUAUUGGGCAAUGCCCGCAAGGGUGACCCAGCAACGCCGCGUGAAGGAUGAAGGCCGUAAGGUUGUAAACUUCUGUUAGAGGGGACGAAUGGUCCCGGUAGUACCGGGAUUUGACUGUACCUUCAGAGAAAGCCCCGGCUAACUAUGUGCCAGCAGCCGCGGUAAUACGUAGGGGGCAAGCGUUGUCCGGAUUUACUGGGUGUAACGGGCGCGCAGGCGGACUGACAAGUCAGAGGUGAAAUCCUGCAGCUUAACUGCAGCACUGCCUUUGAAACUGCCGGUCUUGAGUGCGGAAGAGAGAGACGGAAUUCCAGGUGUAGUGGUGAAGUACGUAGAUAUCUGGAAGAACACCAGUUGCGAAGGCGGUCUCUUGGUCCGUUACUGACGCUCAGGCGCGAAAGCGUGGGUAGCAAACAGGAUUAGAAACCCGGGUAGUCC
rnacentral:rRNA from 1 species